CUACCGUGAGGAUUGCCUGAACUCUCUCUUUCUGAAUGCCUUUUGAAGAAGUCCUGAGCUUUCUGAGUAGU